rnacentral:rRNA from 1 species
AAUUUUGGACAAUGGGGGAAACCCUGAUCCAGCCAUCCCGCGUGUAUGAUGAAGGCCUUCGGGUAGUAAAGUACUUUUGGCAGAGAAGAAAAGGUAUCUCCUAAUACGAGAUACUGCUGACGGUAUCUGCAGAAUAAGCAGCGGCUAACUACGUGCCAGCAGCCGCGGUAAUACGUAGGGUGCAAGCGUUAAUCCGAAUUACGGGGCGUAAAGGGUGUGUUGGCCGUUUCGAAAGAAACGAUGUGAAUUCCCAGGCCCCACCCUGGAACCUCCUUUUUAAACGCCCAGGUUGAGUAAUUUAGGGGGGGGUAGAAUUCCACGUGUAGCAGUGAAAUGCGUAGAUAUGUGGAGGAAUACCGAUGGCGAAGGCAGCCCCCUGGGAUAAUACUGACGCUCAGACACGAAAGCGUGGGGAGCAA